rnacentral:rRNA from 1 species
CCUGGUUGAUCUUGCCUGUAGUCAUUGCUUGUCUCAAAGACGAAGCUAUGCAUGUGUAAGUAUGAAUUAAUUCAGACUGUGAAACAGCGAAUAACUCAUUAAAUCAGUUAUAGUUUGUUUGAUGAUACUUGCUACUCGGAUGACCGUAGUAAUUCUAGAGCUAAUACGUGCAACAAACCCCGACUUUCGGAAGGGAUGCAUUUAUUAGAUAAAAGGUCGAUGCGAGCUUCGUUCAUUGACGUGACGAUUCAUGAUAACUCGACGGAUCGCACGGCCCUCAUGCCAGCGACGUAUCAUUCAAAUUUCUGCCCUAUCAACUUUCGAUGGUAGGAUGGUGGCCUACUAUGGUGGUAAUGGGUGAUGGAGAAUUAAGGUACGAUUUCGGAGAAGGGGCCUGAUAAACGGCUACCGCACCCAAGGAAGGUAGGAGGCGUGCAAAUUACCCAAUCAUGACACGAGGAGGUAGUGACAUUAAAUAAUAAUACCGGGCUUUGAGAGUUUGGUAAUUGGAAUUAGUACAAUCUAAAUCCCUUAACGAGGAUCCAUUGGAGGGCAAGUCUGAUGCCAGCAGUCGCAAUAAUUCCAACUCCAAUAGCAUAUAUUUAAGUUGUUGCAGUUAAAAAGCUCAUAGUUGGACCUUGGGUUGGGUCGGUUGGUCUGCUUAUGAUGUGCACCAGUCGUCUCGUCCCUUCUGUUGACGAUGCGCUUCUGACCUUAAUUGGUUGGGUCGUGUCUCCGGCGCUGUUACUUUGAAGAAAUUAGAGUGCUCAAAGCAAGUCUACGCUCUGGAUACAUUAGUAUGGGAUAACAUUAUAGGAUUUCGGUUCUAUUACAUUGGCCUUCAGGAUCGAAGUAAUGAUUAAUAGGGUCAGUCGAAGACAUUUGUAUUUUAUAAUCAGAGGUGAAAUUCUUAGAUUUAUGAAAGAUGAACAACUGCGAAAUCAUUUGCUAAUGAUGUUUUCAUUAAUCAAGAACAAAAGUUGGGGGCUCGAAGACAAUUAGAUGCCGUCCUAGUAUCAACCAUAAAUGCUGCCGACUAGGGAUUGAUGGAUGUUGCUUAUGGGACUCUGCAUGGGACCUUAAAGGGAAUCAAAGUUUUUGGGUUCUGGAAGGAGUAUGGUUGCAAGACAGAAAUUUAAAGGAAUUGAUGGAAGGACAACACUAGGAGUGGAGCCUGCGGCUUAAUUUGACUCAAUAUGGGGAAAUUUACCAAGUUCAGACAUAGUAAAGAUUGACAGACUGAGAGCUCUUUCUAUUUACUAUUAUUAUUUUUUUGAUCGGUAAAUGUGAAUUUCUAUAGAUCAAAAACCAUAUACAAGUAAGCCAGGCAUACUCGAGAUAUCACAUGAAAGAACAAAACAAUACCACAAGGCAUACUCGUGGCAAAAAGAUACAAGAUGAUGAAAACACUAAUAAACCCCAGCAGCAAGAGAAUCAAAACAUUCGGAUACAAAACGAACAUAACUUUGUAUACGUGUGUUUUGAUUUUCCUAACAAUGGAUUCAACUUGCACUUUCGUACCAUAAAAAACACAACAAUUCCUAGCCAUCCAAAUGUAGUAGACAGUAGUAGCAAAAGCAAUUCGUUUAGCACGGCUCGGCCAACUCAUCCCCCGUACUUCUUUUUUCAACCAUUUAAAAGAGCUCAGCAAAGUAGACAUGGACCGCCUUAAUACCCAACCAAAAUCUGAUCUGUUUCCAUACUUCGGAAGUGACCCGGCAUCGAAAAAACAA